rnacentral:rRNA from 1 species
GGACUACCCGGGUUUCUAAUCCUGUUUGAUCCCCACGCUUUCGUGCAUGAGCGUCUGUAUUAAAUUCGUUACCUGUCUUCACGAUCGGCGUUCUGUGACAUAUCUAUGCAUUUCACCGCUACACAUCACAUUCCGGUAACGUCAUUUAAACUCUAGUCAAGCAGUAUCAAAGGCAGUCUUGCGGUUAAGCCGCAAAAUUUCACCCCUGACUUACUUGUCCGCCUGCGCACCCUUUAAACCCAAUAAAUCCGGAUAACGCUUGCACCCUCCGUAUUACCGCGGCUGCUGGCAC